GCAAAGGACUUUAUCAAGUCCAUAUAACAAGUUCUUGAAAUAAAUU
rfam:Tyto alba contig10214, whole genome shotgun sequence.